GCCCCUUAGAGCCAAAACACUACCAAUCACCGCCACCUUCAUCUUUUCUUAAGAUUUUUCUCCUUUAAGCUUGAUAUUUACUAAAAAUCAAAACUUUAAUUUUGUUUGGAAAAACAUGGCCAAAUUACAUUGCUAAUUAGAAAUUAGCUAUCAUCUCAACAGUUAUUACUAGCAUGGGAUAACAUUAUAAGAUUUCGGGAUAGAAUUAUGAAAGGACAUUCUUAUUUCUGGGAAUUAAAUUCUUGGAUUUAUGAAUGACGAACAACUACAAAAACAUUUGCUAAAGAUGUUUUUAUAAAUUAAGAACAAAAGUUAGGGGCUCGAAGACGAUUAAAUAUCGUCUUAGUCUCAAUCAUAAACGAUGCAGACGAGGGAUCGGUGGAUGU
rfam:Nicotiana attenuata strain TT chromosome 7, whole genome shotgun sequence.